rnacentral:rRNA from 1 species
AGCAGUAGCCGCGGUAAUACGUAGGGUGCGAGCGUUAAUCGGAAUUACUGGGCGUAAAGCGUGCGCAGGCGGUUCGUUAAGACAGAUGUGAAAUCCCCGGGCUUAACCUGGGAACUGCAUUUGUGACUGGCGAGCUAGAGUAUGGCAGAAGGGGGUAGAAUUCCACGUGUAGCAGUGAAAUGCGUAGAGAUGUGGAGGAAUACCGAUGGCGAAGGCAGCCCCCUGGGCCAAUACUGACGCUCAUGCACGAAAGCGUGGGGAGCAAACAGGAUUAGAUACCCGUGUAGUCCCUGUCUCUUAUAA